AGGGCCGCAGCUGUAAAAGUAAUUAAUGGCUAAAGAAACUCGAGCACAUCCUGCAGAAGGCCGUUCUGCAUUCAGCACAAGCUGUGGAACCAGAGCCUCUGCAUGCUAGUGGCCCUCGAGUUGUAUCCUGAUUUGACUGGGAAGUAUUGAAGAACCCUUUUAAAAUGCAUCUGCUAAACUGCUUGAACCAGUCAGAUUCACAUGCCUGAGAUGAACCCCUGCUCCUGGCAGCUCAGAAAUCAUUCAGGAAUGCAGACUUAUAAGUAAGCAAUUAAAGCAGGCUCUGAGCUCUGUAAGGCAUGUAGCAUUCAUACCAGGCAACAGGUGAUUUAUUUUCCAUUACUUCUUCCCCUUGUCCCAACUAUCUUCUCUCAAAAUAGAUAAUGUUUUAUUCUAUCAAAUGUAUAUAUUACCUUAUCCUUCCUAGACAGUUUAAUGGAAAUAGUCAGAGAAUAAACACUAACUAAAAAAGAAGUAAUGAUUACUCAUUAUAUUAAUAAUUCAUCACUGAUUGUGUGAUUUUGUCUUACAAUUUCUAUUGGGGCUCCUGAAGACUUUGGAUCUUGUGUUUUUCAUGUCCUUCUUCCUUUUAGAUUUCAUGUGGACUAUUUUCUCUAUUGUCUCUUUUCUGAGAUUUUUGAAAUAUUUCUCAAAGGCACAUCAAAGCCACUGGUGUGCUUGCCCAAAAUGUUUCUAGUCCCUGCUUCUCACCAGCAGAAUCAGAUUCCCUGGAAGAGGAACCUGAAAAUAUGCAUUUCCAAC